rnacentral:rRNA from 1 species
CGCGUAGGCGGUUUUUUAAGUCUGAUGUGAAAGCCCACGGCUCAACCGUGGAGGGUCAUUGGAAACUGGAAAACUUGAGUGCAGAAGAGGAAAGUGGAAUUCCACGUGUAGCGGUGAAAUGCGCAGAGAUAUGGAGGAACACCAGUGGCGAAGGCGACUUUCUGGUCUGUAACUGACGCUGAUGUGCGAAAGCGUGGGGAUCAAACA